rnacentral:rRNA from 1 species
AGAAUGACUCUCGGCAACGGAUAUCUAGGCUCUUGCAUCGAUGAAGAACGUAGCGAAAUGCGAUACUUGGUGUGAAUUGCAGAAUCCCGUGAACCAUCGAGUCUUUGAACGUAAGUUGCGCCCGAUGCCAUUAGGUUGAGGGCACGUCUGCCUGGGUGUCACAU